GUUUGACCCAAGGGCUCCCCAAGGUGUCUCGAACCCUAACAUCUUGAAAUCCAUUUCUCCAAAAUCUCACGCAAAGGCUUUACGUUCCAAGAAGAAAGGAGAGAAGAUGUUGAAGAAGACUUCCAUGGCGGUUCCAUCCUUUCGGAUCUUCGUCUCCCCUUUGCGCUUGAAUGGCAAGACUUGUAGAUCGUGGUAGUUCUACUCAGCAAUCGUUGUCGCAGUGCCAGCACCUGCUAAGUUAGCUAGGAACAUCAAUGACAAUACCUAUUAUGUGGCUGGAAUUUGAGAAACGCAUGGAGGUCGCUAAGAAGACCGAAAAUGAAAGAUGGCUAUUCUUUUGUUGUAGUAAUGAUUGCAGUCAUUUCAAGUGGAACGACGUUUCGUUUGGUGGAAUUAAACAUGUGCAACUUGAUUGUGAGUCCAAUGGUGAGUCAUGAUAUACUUGUUUGGGUAGCUCUCAUCCCAAGUAUCCAAUUGAAGAUUUUUCCCAUGUAUUGAAGAAUUUGGUUCGCAUAAUCGCUAUGAAUAUGUGGAAAUCUCAUCAAGUUUUUUCUAAUUACACUUUUAUAUGCAUUCGAACAUUGUAGCCUUUAGCUUUGCACUAUAUAAUAAUAAUAAUAUGUUUUGGUUGGACCUCCUUCCAGGCUCCAUUAGGUGACAAAGCUUUUGUACAAGAUAUGGAGUGAAGAUCGUUUAAAAACACUUGAUUUGUAGUUCCCAAUAGUUCUCCAUCAAGGGAAUUCUUAAUUGGUAGGUA